AAGCCAGGUACAGCAUAUGUGCACUGCACAUUGCAUUAUCAUCAAACGAGUUAAAAGCGAUUGCCGUUACAGUAAACAGUCAGCGACUUUCACUAGUGCAACGAAUCCACGUCAUGCAGAGGCAGCCUCAAAAGAUUAGCAGAUGCCAUCUUUCACCGUCGAAAGAAUUCUGGAAACCAAGUGGUUUCAGUGGCGAUUGGCUGUUGAUGGAACAUGUACAUGUGCGUCAGCAGCGGUCAGCAGUAUCGUCAGCUGGACCGAAGAAAAGCGGGACGGGCUCUGCGGCUAUAUACCACCCUGCAGUCUUAUUGGAGAAAGUCGUUUUUCUUUCCUUCCUCUUCUCUUUCUGUCUUUUUCUUUUUUACAACUUUUUGAUUAAUCUUGGACGUGUGUGUCUCCAGGAAGAAGAUCCAAUUAAGGGCGCUUGCGGGAGCAAUUCGACCUUGUUUUCCCUAGCACGUCAUCCAUUCUGGCCUUCUUCCUGCUGCCACUGCAAUUACCGGUAAAUAAUAAGCGUCCCACUAACAAUAUUUAUCAUUUUUAAAACUGUCGCUUGUUGUUAUGCGUCGUCAAGCAAUUUGAUGACGAAACUCAUCAAAUAUCUUGCUGAUCUUUAUCUUAAGGUGUGAUGAGGCCCGAUAGUGAAUCGGUGAUCCUUCGGGGACCGAAAAGCUAGUGCGACCUGAUUCGUUGUUGAAGCGUGUGACACCAUUUAGGACACAUAAAGGGAUACAGAAUGUGUUGGGAUAUUUUUUCCUCCUCGGCAAAGUCAAUGGAAGAAAAAUAUUUCCUCCUUUGUUUUCGGUUUGUUGGACAUCCGUCUUCUAGCACAAGCUUUCUUUCUUUCUACGUUCUUUCACUUUGAACGUAAGGGCAAUGCAUGAGACCAACAGAUUUGAGCACAGGUAUUACGUCUGACAAAGCAGAGCGUAUCCAGUUGCCAAUGAUCAUUCGCAUUCAUUUGAUUUCCUUUCAAUCUGCUGGUCUGCGUGCAUUGUAAUCGAGCAUUUGAAACUAACUAUGUGAGAAUCUUUCCGAUAAGGAGCCGUUCAACUGUAUCAAAGUGUCCUUCGGGUUUUCUCCUAUCACGAAGAACGGUAGUUUUUGUUCAGAAGAGAAAUCAAUCGAAACAAACGACUUUUAAAGACGUCACGCUCAAAUAACAACCAAAAAUUGGACUUUUUGUGUGAACGUUUGAUUACAGUCUGUUAGAAAGAAACUUUAUUCACUAACGUUUAGGAUCAGAUGUUCGGUAAAGCGUGUUUUCUCUAACCAUUUCUCAUUUCAUUUUUCUCAACUCUUAUGAGGUGAGACAUUAUGGACGGAUCGCCAAUGUGGCUUUAUUUGUACAUUGACGUUCCUUCCAAGCAAAUAGGCUCCAUCCUUCUCAAAUCUCAAUGUCGAAUUUCACGAAACCACCUGCCAAGUCAUUGAACUACUUUAUUGGAAUACAGAAUCCAGAAUUCGACACUCGACGGCUAGUGCGUAACAUAACAUUGCAAUAUCACCGCAAACGUGAAAACGUGCAUUAUGCGUACAUGCAACCAUUGAUAUGGCCUAAUGAACUAAAAGUGUCUGGACAUUUUGAAGUAAAAAAAAAAAGUGCAACCCGGAAACGAGGUCUCAUCAAGUGUCUGUUAGUCAAGUGUACACCUGGCUUGGGAUAUCAUACAACCCUCGAGCACAAACUCAGGCAGAAUAACAGGUGGACAAAUCGCCGCCCGGGUUAUUAACGGUGAAUUUUCACCCGUCCUUUUACUUUGUGUCAGUUGGUAACUAUCUAGGCCGACGCGAAUAUUCAUCUUCUCGCUUAUCAAUUUAUACGAUCCAGUUCACCCGUCCAAUUUCGGCUGCUGAUCCAUAACUUCUCAAUUGGACCUUAAUAUCCCUUUUUCUUUUUCCGCUUUUCAAUUGGCAGUUUGGAGCUUAUAACAAAAUAGUUUACGUGCCGUUAAACUUGGGUUUUCCAGAAAAAUCCAACAUUCAGAGUUAACUUGAACAAGUGGCGUUGUGUAACAGUACACAUAUGCAGAAAGCAGAUGGCCAAGUUUGAGUGAUUCAUGGCCGACUUACCUAGAAAUGGUCGAUCGGUCAGAUAAUCGGCUUUGCCCGUUUAGCUGUUCUUUUUUGGUUUGUUCUAUUUUUUUUGUGCCGCCAUUAAAACGCUCCUCAGAACGUUUUUUGUUGCUCAAAGAUUGUUUUCCUUGCAGCCGUUUUACAAAUAUCUAGACGCACUUGCGGUCGUCGCUAAGAUUACGCAAUUGUUUACAUUUAUCAGGAGGUAAAUACUUGAUGUGGGCCAUAUUCUUAUUUUCCGUCCAAAAAAAGGCAAUCGUAAAAAUUUAGUGAAAUGGAGUAUGAAACAAAAGCUUAUGCUGUACGUUUUGCACGGGAAGUUGCUGUUGAAAAAGUUCCAUGCACCCACGUUAACCGUGCUCCGUCACUGUACAACAAUUCGUGGAGGACGAACGACCAGAUUAAAGAACGUUGUCGUGUUGGCUGGUGCCAAAUUGUCUGUGUUUUGCUGUUUCCAUUUUCCUUGUUCCGACAAAACAACGGAGUGAAACAUAAAACAUUUUUAAUGGAACACUUGUAAACAAAGAAAGAUUCCGGCAAUAUUCUGAAAAUACUGUUAGUGUACAGCUAUGUCGAACCAAAUACAAGAUCAUCUUUCCAAAAAUA